rnacentral:rRNA from 1 species
UGGGGAAUAUUGGACAAUGGGCGAAAGCCUGAUCCAGCAAUGCCGCGUGGGUGAGGAAGGUCUUCGGAUUGUAAAGCCCUUUCGGCGGGGACGAUGAUGACGGUACCCGCAGAAGGAGCCCCGGCUAACUUCGUGCCAGCAGCCGCGGUAAUACGAAGGGGGCUAGCGUUGCUCGGAAUGACUGGGCGUAAAGGGCGCGUAGGCGGCGCACUUAGUCGGGCGUGAAAGUCCUGGGAUCAACCUGGGGACGGCGCUCGAUACGGGUGUGCUUGAGUGUGGAAGAGGGAUGUGGAAUUCCCAGUGUAGAGGUGAAAUUCGUAGAUAUUGGGAAGAACACCGGUGGCGAAGGCGGCAACCUGGUCCAUUACUGACGCUGAGGCGCGAAAGCGUGGGGAGCAAAC